UACAGAGGGUGCAAGCGUUGUUCGGAAUCACUGGGCGUAAAGCGCACGUAGGCGGACUCUUAAGUCGGUGGUGAAAUCCUGGAGCUCAACUCCAGAACUGCCUUCGAUACUGGGAGUCUUGAGUCCGGGAGAGGUGAGUGGAACUGCGAGUGUAGAGGUGAAAUUCGUAGAUAUUCGCAUGAACACCAGUGGCGAAGGCGGCUCACUGGCCCGGUACUGACGCUGAGGUGCGAAAGCGUGGGGAGCAAACAGG
rnacentral:rRNA from 1 species